GACGAACGCUGGCGGCGUGCUUAACACAUGCAAGUCGAACGGAAAGGCCCUGCUUUUGUGGGGUGCUCGAGUGGCGAACGGGUGAGUAACACGUGAGUAACCUGCCCUUGACUUUGGGAUAACUUCAGGAAACUGGGGCUAAUACCGGAUAGGAGCUCCUGCUGCAUGGUGGGGGUUGGAAAGUUUCGGCGGUUGGGGAUGGACUCGCGGCUUAUCAGCUUGUUGGUGGGGUAGUGGCUUACCAAGGCUUUGACGGGUAGCCGGCCUGAGAGGGUGACCGGCCACAUUGGGACGGAGAUACGGCCCAGACUCCUACGGGAGGCAGCAGGGGGGAAUAUUGCACAAGGGGCGGAGGCCUGAUGCAGCAACGCCGCGUGCGGGAUGACGGCCUUCGGGUUGUAAACCGCUUUCGCCUGUGACGAAGCGUGAGUGACGGUAAUGGGUAAAGAAGCACCGGCUAACUACGU
rnacentral:rRNA from 1 species